CCUGAGAAACCCAAAAGAUCGAAUGGGGAGAUUCAUCGUCAGCUGCUUUGGCUUACGUGCGGUGUGCGAUGACCGGGGCUUCGGUUCUGUGUCACGCGCCCGCUGCGUUAUGUCCGAAGUGGUCGGCGUGCACUUCUCCCCUAGUAGGACGUCGCGACCCGUUGGGUGCUGGUCUACGGCCUGGUUGUAAGUCUGACGUGUCUCGUUUACGCGUGUCACGCGUCAGACAACUGGAUGCCUGACCGGCUGCCCGGCGGUAUUGAACGAUAAUUAAACGGUAUUGGGCCGCAUCAAGUGCGUUCAGGCCCUUUGGCAGGUUUGCCUCGCUCGGAUUUAUGGACCUAGCGCCAUUGCCGGGUGCUUGGUAGAUUGUUUAGCCGAAGGUGUCCUCGGACUGGCUCUUUAUAUUCGAACGGAUAUACCGGUCGGCGACGCUACUGCUUUGGGUACUUUCAGGAC
rnacentral:rRNA from 1 species